AUGAUUUUUGUUGUUGUGUUGAUGGAUUUUCUAGAUUUUGGCCGUUAUGUUCUGCUGUUUUGAUGUUUACUUUGUUGGUUUGUAUCUCAUCUUGUUUAAAGUUGUUUAUGUACUUGGUUCUGUAACCCUUAACUUUUGACAUUCUGGUUUUUUUUACUGAAUAAACAUUUAUUUUGUCUCUUUGAUCUCUUUUGGCUAAAAAGGGGGAGAAGUAGCUAUAGCUAUAGAUGAUGCUAUAAAUGAUGUUAUUUAUAGAUGAUGUUAUAGAUCAUGUUGGAU
rnacentral:lncRNA from 1 species